CCUUUCGGAGAUUUUAAUAAAUAUUUCCAGCCUGUAUUUGUCUCGCCAUUUUUGUUUUUCUCGCCAUUUCAGCUGUCGACCAGAGUAGAAGAAGGUUGUGUUUAUUAAAUCUGUUACUAUAACAACAACAUCAUGUCUGACACUUCACUUCAACAGAUUGUCCAACACCAGAUUGUUAAUUUGUACGAUUCAAAUAAUGUACAACUAGGCGAGACCAACAACAUACACUGUCAUCAGUCUAAUCAACUAAAACAAGAUUUUGAUAGAAUGAAGAAUGAAAUACAACAACUCAAGUCAGAAAAUCAGACUCAAGCUGACGAAAUACAAAAACUCAAGUCAAGGGUGAAAGUUCUGGAAGUUAAAACAGGAGUCAAGAAAACAUAUAAAAAUAUAAUUAAAGAAAAAGAUGAUAUGAUUGAACUUACUAUACAAUACUACAACAGCUUUCCUUGGUGUGAAGAUAUGACUAUAAGUAUUAGUAGAGAUCAAACAGUGAAUGAAUUAGAGAAGAUGAUACUGGAGGAGUGUAGAAAGACGUGUGGUGUAGAGUUUCAUGGUUAUAUUGGUUGUAUUGGUUGUAUCUACAGUGAUGAUGAGGAGUUAAAGUACGACUACGAACAACACAACAAACAUCUCUCAUUAUCACACUUUAAUAUAAAAGAGAGAGAUAGGGUCCACUGGUGGUGGUUCUAGUCUGUUGAUGGUGUAUAAAAUAUUAAAUCAUAUAUACUAACUAUAAAACAAUAUUAAACAUUUAACUUGAACAUUGAAUUCUAUCUAUAUAUACUAACUAUAAAACAAUAUUAAACAUUUAACUUAAACAUUGAAUUCUAUUUUUUUUCUAUCUAUAAAACAAUUUCUAUCUAUAAAACAAUAUUAUGAUGGUGUAUAAAAUGGAGAUGUUAUUUUUACUGUGUAUAUAAAUAUAAAGACUGUAAAUAUGUUUUAUAUUCUGUUGAAGUCCAGUUAAAAACUGUGAUAAACGUAUGAAUACAUCACGUGUGUGUGUGUGUGUGUGGGUGGGGUGGCUGGGUGUGUACGGCAGAGACAAUGUUUUAUAUUCUGCUGUUUAAGGCAUUGAGGAAUCAGAGGCGGUCCAGCACAUUUUAGCACAUAUGUGGAUUGCAGGUUAUGACCUGCAGAUUUCGUUAAAGUAUCCAGAUGUAAAUAGGGCUAGCGCUAACCCUAACCCUCGGCCAAGCCUAACCCUUAUCCUUACCCCAACACACAAUUCGCAUAAUGUGACCGUCUCCGAUCUAACGGUUUCCAUUCAGGAAAUAGAUCACACUGUCAGUAUGUAUGACGUCAUCAUGUAAUUGAUGACGAAAUAAAGACACCUCCUCCUCAGUAAUUUGAUCCAGACUAGAACCUGUCAAUCAAUCAUCAGUGGUUACUUCAUCCAAUGAGAAUCUAUUUGCGUGAUACCAACAACCACUGUGUCAUGUGACAGGGUGUUUUUAUCGGUAGGUGUAAUUGAGACAGACGAUGAUUUUAUGUGAAUACCACUGACAUAAAUACAAUUUAUAUGUCACCAUGGUAAUAUAAUAUAC